rnacentral:lncRNA from 1 species
CUAUUUCAGGCUCUGAUAGUUGUGUGAUAACGGGGUAAAAAGAUUUCCACUGAGUCUUUUAAAUUGUAGGACAUCUUCUCUUUGGGUUUUCAAAUUGUAACUUUGAACAUAAUCUUUUCUCAUUAGCAGAGGCUUUGUUGAAGCUUUAGACACAGAUAUCAAAAAUCAGUCAGCUUUAUGGACUUUUAAAAAAAAAUCUUUUUGGCAAGCUUCAAUGUGUUGGAACAACCAUGAUACAUAAAGGGACUACUUUGCCUGUUAACAGAAGUGCUAAAGACCAGGCUAACAGGUUUGCUGCUGUGCUAAUACAGAAUAAUCUCUGAUAACUAUAAUUAACUUGUACGCUUCUGUCUUAGGUUGACUCACCAGAACACUCACACCCUUCAAGAUUGAUAUUCAUUCCUCUUUGAGAUACGAGCAGAUGCUUCCAACAACUGUCUACAGCCACGAUGCCGUAGCCUUGGUUUGUACGCAUUUAUCCCUGGCAGGCGCGCUAUCUAUUUUAGGAAGGUAUUUUGACACUUUACCUCUUGGCUACAGUGUCUCCAAAAAUGCACUCAGUGAACGGAACAGUCUCUCUCCUUGCAGGCGUGCAGGCGACAGUCAGCCCCAGCAUGUUCUGUGGCAGAGUCAGCUGGCUCAAGACCAAAGCAGCUAAUCAGCGUUGGGUCUGUUCUGGGGCUCAAGGAAGAUGCCCUGCCAUUCACUGACAGCUUUUCCCUGGGCUUUCUCUCCUUGCAGGCAUUCUUAUUCUGUGAAAGGGCUACACAGCUAUGCUUGGGGAUUCUAAUCAAGGUGUCUUUGGAUAAGGAUGAUCGUCUUGUGGGGCUUCAAGUUUGGACUCUUCUGACUACCCUCUAGUUUUUUCUGGUAAUCCUGUAAACUGCCUGGCUUUUCAGGCAAAGCUGUUCUUCCUCUGCGUGGGUUUACGAGAGAGUUAGGGAGACUAUCUGCUGCUUCCUUUUGGGGCAAAGGUGGGAAUCAUGAUGAUGAAGCAUUUAGCAAAUGAGGCAAAUAACAAAUGCCUCUUUGACAUGCAAAUAAAUGUUCAUAGAAAUAAAAAUUAAGGGAUUUAUAUUGAAACAUGGUCAUAGUUUAUUUUCUAGAUCUGGGCAAGAUAAAUUAUAUCAGAAAAGAAAAAUCUAACCCAAUGAGAAUACUUAGUGAAGUUUUACUAGGAAGUAGUAGUGAGGAG